rnacentral:piRNA from 1 species
CAUGAUGUGCCACUAGGCCUAAAU